rnacentral:rRNA from 1 species
AGCAGUAGCCGCGGUAAUACGAGGGGGGCAAGCGUUGUUCGGAAUUAUUGAGCGUAAAGCGUGCGCAGGCGGUUCGUUAAGACAGAUGUGAAAUCCCCGGGCUUAACCUGGGAACUGCAUUUGUGACUGGCGAGCUAGAGUAUGGCAGAGGGGGGUAGAAUUCCCAGUGUAGAGGUGAAAUUCGUAGAUAUUGGGAAGAGCACCGGUGGCGAAGGCGGCGACCUGGUCCUUGACUGACGCUGAGGCGCGAAAGCGUGGGGAGCAAACAGGAUUAGAUACCCGCGUAGUCCCUGUCUCUUAUAC